UACGGGGGGAGCAAGCGUUGUUCGGAUUUACUGGGCGUAAAGGGCGCGUAGGCGGUCAGCACAAGUCAGUUGUGAAAUCUCCGGGCUUAACUCGGAAAGGUCAACUGAUACUGUGCGACUAGAGUGCAGAAGGGGCAACUGGAAUUCUCGGUGUAGCGGUGAAAUGCGUAGAUAUCGAGAGGAACACCAAUGGCGAAGGCAGCUCGCUGGGACGUGACUGACGCUGAGACGCGAAAGCGUGGGGAGCAAACAGG
rnacentral:rRNA from 1 species